GACGAACGCUGGCUGCGUGCCUAAUACAUGCAAGUAGAACGCUGAAGAGAGGAGCUUGCUCUUCUUGGAUGAGUUGCGAACGGGUGAGUAACGCGUAGGUAACCUGCCUUGUAGCGGGGGAUAACUAUUGGAAACGAUAGCUAAUACCGCAUAACAAUGGAUGACACAUGUCAUUUAUUUGAAAGGGGCAAUUGCUCCACUACAAGAUGGACCUGCGUUGUAUUAGCUAGUAGGUGAGGUAACGGCUCACCUAGGCGACGAUACAUAGCCGACCUGAGAGGGUGAUCGGCCACACUGGGACUGAGACACGGCCCAGACUCCUACGGGAGGCAGCAGUAGGGAAUCUUCGGCAAUGGGGGCAACCCUGACCGAGCAACGCCGCGUGAGUGAAGAAGGUUUUCGGAUCGUAAAGCUCUGUUGUAAGUCAAGAACGAGUGUGAGAGUGGAAAGUUCACACUGUGACGGUAGCUUACCAGAAAGGGACGGCUAACUACGUGCCAGCAGCCGCGGUAAUACGUAGGUCCCGAGCGUUGUCCGGAUUUAUUGGGCGUAAAGCGAGCGCAGGCGGUUUGAUAAGUCUGAAGUUAAAGGCUGUGGCUCAACCAUAGUUCGCUUUGGAAACUGUCAAACUUGAGUGCAGAAGGGGAGAGUGGAAUUCCAUGUGUAGCGGUGAAAUGCGUAGAUAUAUGGAGGAACACCGGUGGCGAAAGCGGCUCUCUGUUCUGUAACUGACGCUGAGGCUCGAAAGCGUGGGGAGCGAACAGGAUUAGAUACCCUGGUAGUCCACGCCGUAAACGAUGAGUGCUAGGUGUUGGAUCCUUUCCGGGAUUCAGUGCCGCAGCUAACGCAUUAAGCACUCCGCCUGGGGAGUACGACCGCAAGGUUGAAACUCAAAGGAAUUGACGGGGGCCCGCACAAGCGGUGGAGCAUGUGGUUUAAUUCGAAGCAACGCGAAGAACCUUACCAGGUCUUGACAUCCCGAUGCUAUUUCUAGAGAUAGAAAGUUACUUCGGUACAUCGGUGACAGGUGGUGCAUGGUUGUCGUCAGCUCGUGUCGUGAGAUGUUGGGUUAAGUCCCGCAACGAGCGCAACCCCUAUUGUUAGUUGCCAUCAUUCAGUUGGGCACUCUAGCGAGACUGCCGGUAAUAAACCGGAGGAAGGUGGGGAUGACGUCAAAUCAUCAUGCCCCUUAUGACCUGGGCUACACACGUGCUACAAUGGUUGGUACAACGAGUUGCGAGUCGGUGACGGCAAGCUAAUCUCUUAAAGCCAAUCUCAGUUCGGAUUGUAGGCUGCAACUCGCCUACAUGAAGUCGGAAUCGCUAGUAAUCGCGGAUCAGCACGCCGCGGUGAAUACGUUCCCGGGCCU
rnacentral:rRNA from 1 species